GUCAGCUUCUGCAGGGGGUUCUUCUUACCCUGAGUGUAUGGAGAGUUGAUGACCCCUAGUGGGAGCUGAGAAACCACAUAGCCGCCUGCAACAAGUAAAUGCUGAUAUUUGCAUUGGAGAUGUGGGGAGUUAACACUCUCCACAGGAGAUCUGUUCUUUUGCUUACAGCUUCUUACUUAGGCAACUGAGAAUUGAAGUUUUUGAAAAAUCAAAAAAGAAAUUUAACUUAUUAUGUGAGGUAGGGACAAAGGAAAGUCACCAAGUUCAGGAAGGGCAUAGCCCAGCCUUGCUGUAAGAGGGUGACUUCUGUGCCUGACCAUAGGCUAACACUGGUGACCACGGCCACCUGGGGCAGAGCUGUGAACCCAGAGAAGCAGCUGAACAGGCCAGCAGGCAACCUGCCAUGGGGUCCUGCUCCAAGAACCGGUCCUUCUUCUGGAUGACUGGGCUCCUGGUAUUCAUCAGCCUCCUCCUCAGUGUCUGCAGAACUGCAGCCAACACUUCUGGAGCACAUGGCUCUGCAGGGAAGGAUUCUGGAGCCCCCAUUCAUCUGAAGGGCAUCCGAGGAGGUUCUGUCUUGUUUAAUGCGAUCGAGAAGCUCAGAGUAGAUGUAGGCACCGAGUUGGAGGAGGUUCUAUGGGCUUUGGGCGCUCUGACAAAUCAUACACAGUUGCUGCGAGUCCGCAGGGGGGCCGACUCUCCAACCUGGUUGAAACUCCAGGACAAGUUCAAGCAGAGGGUCCAUGUACCCAGCAUGUCAUCCCUGAGGAUUGAGAACCUGGCCCCUGAAGACAGUGGGCAGUACUUUGCCAACAUCACCUCUACUAAGGGAGAGGGGAUUUUCCAGGUUUUCUACCUCACUGUCUAUGAGCCUGUGCCUCACCCUGAGUUCCUGGCAAAGUCACUGUCUAUCACACCAGACCUGUGUAACGUCACCCUGGAGUGUAGGGCUCCAGGGGCCACAGAAGACCUGAAUGUGACUUGGGAGAGCAAGGGCCUCCUCAGAGAGCUGGAGCAGAGAGAAACACCAGGACCAGCCCCCAACCCCUGGACACUGGCUGUGAACCUGCCCCUGUGCCAGUGCAACACCCACCUCACCUGUGUGGUCAGCAACCAGGUGGAUCAGAAAGCUGCAAUCUUAGACCUUAGGAAAGUCUGUGUCCAAGAAACAGGUUCACACAACAUGGUUAGACUGCUCCCAGGCAUCCUAGGGGCUGUUGUGGGUAUGCUGUUGGUCCUGGGAACUGGGCUGUAUCUUUUGAAGACAUGUGGGAAGAAGAAGAAGAAGAUGAUGAAUAUAGGAAGAGGCAGAGAAUUGCAGGAGAAUCAUGGGGUCGAUGAUGGUGUCAACCAAUAUGAAGAUCUCAGACAGCAAGUGUUUCCGAAGGGCAAGGACAAGGUAAGGGCUGGGGCACUGGCCACUCUGGCAACUCCCAGGUCUCUCUGUCCAGACUUGGGCUUCUAAUUCCAGGACCUGCCAUUUCUGACCACACCGCCUGUUUAUCUGUAUCUGGACAAUCAACAGCAUUUACUAAGAAAUUUGCAUCUGGGUGUGAUGUAGUGCUGGGCACUUUAGAGGAAUUCAUGAGCUGUGCAUGGCAGUGGGUAUUGGCCCUGUGGGUCCCUCCACAUCGUUUCUAUCCCUCAGCUGAUCCAACAACCCUCUGUCUUGUAUUCCAGGGCAUCGGUGAACAAUAUCUGGAAAAAAGGGAGUCUCUCACUCCUAUCUACAGUGAGGUUCAUUAUCAUUGUCCAGGCCAGGCCAUUAAGAUCAUUCGAUUGGAGGAAGCAACAGGAUCUGGCACUCCCAGGACACCUGUACUCUGAGCCUGAAGCCUGCAGAUCCCCGCCUUUCCCAGUGCUGGUUCAGUUUCCGCUGCCCCUAGUCUGUGUUACUCUGAUCUCAUAGCUACAGUUCUACAGUGUACCCAUGGCCUGUUCGCAUUCUGUGACACCUCCCAAAGAUGCACUUACACUUGGGCAAAGAUUCUUCCCUUGUCAUUGACAUUGCUCCUGACCCCUCUCUUUCAGAAGCCUUCCCAAGGGGACCCUGUCUGAUUGCACAGGUGGCAAAUCCCCACCACCUCUGCCAUGUCACUUGUGUGUGUAAUUCUGAGGACACAAGCCCAGACAUGGGAACUGUGCAGAGGUGUUGACUGUGCUGCAGAGGAGGGACAUAGACCUGGCUUCUGGAUGCUGAGUUGGAGGAUAUCGUGGGUGGGUAGAAGCCCACAAAGGAACACGCUGAGGCUUCCUUUGCAGAUUUUGUGUAGGGCUCCCUUGCGGGUAUCAGGCAGUGCGUGUGUGCAUGCAGGUUGGUGGUGGAGGGGGGUGUCUAGUGCAUAUUAUACAACUGAACCAAAGCCACCUUUCUUUUCUUCUGUGCUAAUCUUAACUUAAUCUUCAGCCUCAGCCUGUGGAUCCAAACUCAACUUCCUGUAGAGUGGAAAGAGAAAUUUUUAUCAUCUCAAAACCUUCCUAGCCUCAGUGUCUCAGAGAAUGACCCUAAGAGGCCACAGUUGGAGGCUGUCUUAGGAACACAGCCUCAGCUCUUUCCUUGGCCUAGUAUAAGGCACUUGGCUGUAAGAACAGAAGUGUGAUAUCCUUCCACACUCACUUGAUGAGGGCUACUUGGGCUCUGAUGGGUGAAGCUGUUGAGAAGGUCUGACUCAGCCCUCUCCAACCUCUUCUUAUUCUGACCCUUAAUACCCCAGUAGCCAUGCUGGCCCCAAACCCUUGGUCAUCCACUUCUUUGCUCACUUGCAUCUCUCUGCCUGACAUGAAAGUUCCUUCUCCCUGUUCCUCACCCUCACUCCCGCCUGUUGAAAUACUACUGUGCUGCUCAAAGCUCUUCCCAAGAUGCUUGUUCCAUGGAGCUCUCUGGAUCUUAAAGGUUUAGACAUGAUCUCUCCCACAACUGACUUUUCUGAACACCUUGGACACUAUGUACGGUCCCUGCCAGUUUGUCCUAGGAUGGUCAUGAGUCUUCCUGCAGGACUAACCUGGGCUCUCUCAGGUGGAUGUGGGGCUGUGGGGUAAUAGGGCUGAGGAGACAAGUACUUAUUGGUGCAAAUGGUCUGGGCCACCUUGUUCCCAACCCAUGGGGUCAGCAGAGGGAGAUGCAGCACAGGGGCUACUGACAAACUCUCUGGUGUGGCUCUACCUGGAAACAGGGAUGGACAUAAUGACCUCCCUUGACUAUGCGUGGCCUGAGGUCCUAAUUGGAGACUUCCUUACUCCCUCAUCCACCUCUUAUUGCGAACCUGGCCAUUCUUCCAUCAUGGUAUGUGGGUGUUUCUUUCCUCCUGAGGGGUCCUCAGCUUCUUGCAGCCUCUGCCUCUUAUUUGAGUCCCAGCUUUUAUGCAGAGAUGAGCUAACUCUAGUACCAUGAGCUGCUGUGGCAUGUCUGGUGGCCUAGAUCCUUGGGCCCCUUAGUUUCCCUCAUGGCUCAGGUGAGCUCAUUUCCUCAUUGCCACCCACAGAAAACAAAGAUCUGAACAGAGUCCCUGCUAAGAGAUGGAGCACUAGAAAAUAGUGCUAGGUGCCUGCUGAAUGGUGGGUGGGUGAGGCAAGAGGGAGAGGAUCCAUAGCAGGGCUUCAUUUCUGCCAUCUUCCCCUUUAGACUGAGCUGAAGGCCGAGGGUGUGCUGGUCUCUUCACUGGCUUCCCAGGUGACUGGACAUUACUGGGUAUCAGUGCACAUUAACCCUGGGGCAGCAUAAGAUGUGAUCACCCAACUGACGUUCCCACUGCACCAAAGGCAACAAAAAACCAAACCAAACAAACCAAAAAGAGGAACAAGGCUUUUGAGGCUGUUUUGAACCAGUUUUUGUCCCAGGCACUUUGCACAUAUUAUUCUUUUUAAUUCUUCUUUAAAUACAUUUUUAAUUUUAAAAUACUAAAUGUUUUACUCUUCUUGUUUAUGAUUUCUUCCAAUGAUAUCAAACUUAAAAGUCCUCUGCAUUCAAAGGACCCAAUAAGUUUUUAUUUAUAUUUUCUUCUGUUGAAAACAUUACAUUAUAAAUACACAUUUUACUCUGAUAUUCCUUUUAAUUGUUAUAAGAACCUACUAUAGUUGGUAUAGGUCAACAGUAUUCAAAACUAGUUGGUGGCAGAGCAAAGCCUUAGAUCCAACACUGGAUGAUUCCAAAGCUCCUUAUCUUUUCCCCUCAUGACAACGGUCACUGAAGACCCUUGCUAUGGUUUGGAUGUUUCCUGUUGGAACUUAAUCCCCAAUGCAAAAGCAUGAAGAAGAGCCGGCUUUUAGGAGGUAAUUAGGUCCCAAGAAUGGAAUUGGUACUCUUAAAAUGGCUUGAGGACAGUGUCACCCCUUUUGCCCUUCUGUCACUUCAACCAUGUGAGGGCACAGUGUUCCUCCUUCCACCAUGUGAGAAUACAGUGUUCCCCACUUCCACCAUGUGAGGACACAGUGUUCCUGCCUUGGAUCAUGUGAAGACAUUGUGCUUCCCCCUUCCACCAUAUAAGGACAUGAUGUUCCUGCCUUUCACCAGGUGAGGACACAGUGUUGCUCCCUUCCACCAUGUGAGAACAUAGUCUACCCCCUUUCUCCAUAUGAGGACACGGUGUUCCCCACUUCCAACAUAUGAGGACAUGGUGUUUCUCCUUCCAUUAUGUAAGGACAUAGUGUUCCUUGCUUCCACUACGUAAUGACACAGUAUUGCCCCUUCCACCAUGUGAGGACACAGUAUUGCCCCUUCCACCAUGUGAGAACAUGGUGUUCCUGCUUUCCAUCAUGUGAGGACACAGUAUUGCCCCUUCCACCAUGUGAGGACACAGUGUUGCCUGCUUCCAUAAUGUGAGGACAUGGUGUUCCCACCUUCCAUCAUGUGCGGACAUACUGUUCUCCCCUUUCACCACUGAGUGCAGUGUUUCCCUCUCUGCUAUGUGAUGAUAUCACAAUAAGAUGCCAUCUAUGGAGCUGAAGGUGAGAUGAAGAGACCCUGAAUCUGCCUUACCAGAUCCUGAAUCUGCCUUACCAGAUCCUGAAUCUACUGGUGCCUUGAUAUUAGACUUCUCAGCCUCCAGACUGUGAGAAAUAAAUUUCUAUUAUAUACAAAUUGCCCAGUGAUUUAUACAUCUAAGGUAUUUUAUUAUAGUAGCCAAAC
rnacentral:lncRNA from 1 species